GGAUAUUAAGGAUGUUUGGCGCACAAUCAUAAGGGCAACUGUGCUCGUUACUUAUAUAUUUAUUAAAAUAACAAACCAAUGGGAUAUUUAGACACAGAUGCACUUUUCAUAGAGAGGAAACUGUCAUGGCUAGUGUUUUGCUGUGUUUUACUGUUACAACGUUAAUGGCUAGAGCUGAGAGAGCGAGGCUGCAACACAGAAGAAUGGUCACAGGCUUCUGAGGUUGUUUCGGAGUGCCAUAGUACUAA
rnacentral:lncRNA from 1 species